rnacentral:rRNA from 1 species
AGGAUUAGAUACCCUGGUAGUCCACACCGUAAACGCUGUCUACUAGCUGUUUGUGGAUUUAAUCCGUGAGUAGCGAAGCUAACGCGAUAAGUAGACCGCCUGGGGAGUACGGCCGCAAGGUUAAAACUCAAAUGAAUUGACGGGGGCCCGCACAAGCGGUGGAGCAUGUGGUUUAAUUCGAUGCAACGCGAAGAACCUUACCUACUCUUGACAUACUAGAAACUUUUCAGAGAUGAAUUGGUGCCUUCGGGAAUCUAGAUACAGGUGCUGCAUGGCUGUCGUCAGCUCGUGUCGUGAGAUGUUGGGUUAAGUCCCGCAACGAGCGCAACCCUUGUCCUUAGUUACCAGCAUUAAGUUGGGUACUUUAAGGAGACUGCCGGUGACAAACCGGAGGAAGGUGGGGGCGACGUCAAGUCAUCAUGGCCCUUACGAGUAGGGCUACACACGUGCUACAAUGGCGAGUACAAAGGGAUGCAAACUGGUGACAGUAAGCGGACCCCUUAAAGCUCGUCGUAGUCCGGAUUGGAGUCUGCAACUCGACUCCAUGAAGUCGGAAUCGCUAGUAAUCGUAGGUCAGCAUACUACGGUGAAUACGUUCCCGGGCCUUGUACACACCGCCCGUCACACCAUGGGAGUGGGAUGCAAAAGAAGUAGGUAGCUUAACCUUCGGGAUGGCGCUUACCACUUUGUGUUUCAUGACUGGGGUGAAGUCGUAACAAGGUAGCCGUAR